rnacentral:rRNA from 1 species
CCUACGGGAGGCAGCAGUAGGGAAUCUUCGGCAAUGGGCGAAAGUCUGACCGAGCAACGCCGCGUGAGUGAAGAAGGUUUUCGGAUCGUAAAACUCUGUUGUUAGAGAAGAACAAGUAGGAGAGUAACUGCUCUUACCUUGACGGUAUCUAACCAGAAAGCCACGGCUAACUACGUGCCAGCAGCCGCGGUAAUACGUAGGUGGCAAGCGUUGUCCGGAUUUAUUGGGCGUAAAGCGAGCGCAGGCGGUCUUUUAAGUCUGAUGUGAAAGCCCUCGGCUCAACCGAGGAAGGUCUUCGGAAACUGGAGGACUUGAGUGCAGAAGAGGAGAGUGGAAUUCCAUGUGUAGCGGUGAAAUGCGUAGAUAUAUGGAGGAACACCAGUGGCGAAGGCGACUCUCUGGUCUGUAACUGACGCUCAGGUGCGAAAGCGUGGGGAGCAAACAGGAUUAGAUACCCGUGUAGUC